UACGAAGGGGGCUAGCGUUGCUCGGAAUUACUGGGCGUAAAGCGCACGUAGGCGGCUUUCUAAGUCGGGGGUGAAAUCCUGGAGCUCAACUCCAGAACUGCCUUCGAUACUGGAGAGCUUGAGUCCGGGGAGAGGUGAGUGGAACUGCGAGUGUAGAGGUGAAAUUCGUAGAUAUUCGCAAGAACACCAGUGGCGAAGGCGGCUCACUGGCCCGGUACUGACGCUGAGGUGCGAAAGCGUGGGGAGCAAACAGG
rnacentral:rRNA from 1 species